rnacentral:misc_RNA from 1 species
AACGAUUCUUGAUUCUUCUGAAUGAAAGAUUGGUUGAGUUCCUCAUCUUUUCCACUGUAUUUUCUUUUUUCCCAUUUUUUAUCACAACAUUGGUAUCAGAGCGGUGAUCCACAGCAAUGGCAGGGGUAGAAACACAUUCACAAGAGUGGCGGAAAGAGAUAGCUUCUAUGGUGAUAGAAGCAGAGUACAGGCAGGAGGCAAGGCUGCAAGAGAUGGUAGCUAGCCAAGAAGUGAAGUUUAAAGGAAUUGUAGAUGAGCUCAAAUCCUUGAUUACGGGAUUGAGUUGUCAGAAUGUAGAAGCAGUGAGACAGAAGAAUUGUAGCGAACAAUCACAAGUUGAAGAGAUAUCUGUUCGAAAUAAUCUAUGGAAUAGUUCUGCCAAAUUGGAAUUUCCCCGUUUCAACAGUGAGGGAUUAGAAGGGUGAUUAUUAAGGGCAGAAUAUUUCUUCGAAGUGGGAAGAAUUGAGUAUCAGAAUAGGGUCAAAGUUGCUGCAUUACAUUUGGAGGGCCGUGCAAUUCAAUGGCAUCAAGGUUUUAUUAAAACCAAAGGAGCUAUGGCUUAUGCUAAUUGGGAUGAGUAUGUGAGGGCAUUGGGAAGUAGAUUUGGAGAUCAUGCUUUUGAUGACCCAAUUGCGGAAUUAAGAAACUUGAAACAAUCGGAUUCCCUGCAGGAAUACUUGAAUCCCUUUGAUGAGCUUUAUCCGAAAGCAGGUAUCACUGAGGAACAAUCUUUAAGUUUUUUUUCUUUUUGGUUUAAAUGAUGAAUUGCAGAUGCCCAUCAGUGCUAUCAAAGGCGAGCGAGGUGCCCAGGCGAGGCGCCCCUCUAUCGCCU